AGCGGGGUAGAGGAAUUGGUCAACUCAUCAGGCUCAUGACCUGAAGACUGCAGGCUCAAAUCCUGUCCCUACCU
rnacentral:tRNA from 1 species